rnacentral:tRNA from 1 species
GCAGUAGUGGCUCAGUGGUAGAAUUCCCACCUUUUAUAUGGGAGACCGGGGUUUGAUUCCCGGCCAAUGUA